rnacentral:rRNA from 1 species
AUUGAACGCUGGCGGCAGGCCUAACACAUGCAAGUCGAGCGGAUGAAGAGAGCUUGCUCUCUGAUUUAGCGGCGGACGGGUGAGUAAUGCCUAGGAAUCUGCCUGGUAGUGGGGAUAACGUUCCGAAAGGAACGCUAAUACCGCAUACGUCCUACGGGAGAAAGCAGGGGACCUUCGGGCCUUGCGCUAUCAGAUGCGCCUAGGUCGGAUUGGCUAGUUGGUGAGGUAAUGGCGCACCAAGGCUACGAUCCGUAACUGGUCUGAGAGGAUGAUCAGUCACACUGGAACUGAGACACGGUCCAGACUCCUACGGGAGGCAGCAGUGGGGAAUAUUGGACAAUGGGCGAAAGCCUGAUCCAGCCAUGCCGCGUGUGUGAAGAAGGUCUUCGGAUUGUAAAGCACUUUAAGCUGGGAGGAAGGGCAGUAAGUUAAUACCUUGCUGUUUUGACGUUACCGACAGAAUAAGCACCGGCUAACUUCGUGCCAGCCGCCGCCGUAACAC